ACGGGAGUAGAAAUACUCCAGUGGCGGACGGGUGAGUAACGCGUGAGAAUCUGCCUUCUGGUCGGGGACAACCACUGGAAACGGUGGCUAAUACCGGAUGAGCCGAAGGGUAAAAGAUUAAUUGCCAGAAGAGGAGCUCGCGUCUGAUUAGCUAGUUGGUGGGGUAAAGGCUCACCAAGGCAUCGAUCAGUAGCUGGUCUGAGAGGACGAUCAGCCACACUGGGACUGAGACACGGCCCAGACUCCUACGGGAGGCAGCAGUGGGGAAUUUUCCGCAAUGGGCGAAAGCCUGACGGAGCAAGACCGCGUGAGGGAAGAAGGCUCUUGGGUCGUAAACCUCUUUUGUUAGGGAAGAACACAAUGACGGUACCUAACGAAUCAGCCUCGGCUAACUCCGUGCCAGCAGCCGCGGUAAUACGGAGGAGGCAAGCGUUAUCCGGAAUUAUUGGGCGUAAAGCGUCCGCAGGUGGCUAUUCAAGUCUGCGGUCAAAGACUGGGGCUUAACCCUGGAAAGGCCGUGGAAACUGAAGAGCUAGAGUGCAGUAGGGGUAGAGGGAAUUCCCGGUGUAGCGGUGAAAUGCGUAGAGCUCGGGAAGAACAUCGGUGGCGAAAGCGCUCUGCUGGACUGCAACUGACACUCAGGGACGAAAGCUAGGGGAGCGAAUGGGAUUAGAUACCCCAGUAGUC
rnacentral:rRNA from 1 species